UGCCUUUCUCUACCACUUCAGUGGAAUGGUAUUAAUUUAGUACCCUUACCACAUAAAACUUCUUAUUUCACUUAUAUUUCUCAUCCCAGACCUCUAAAAUGUGUUUGAACUGGUAGGGACUGUGGCUCGGAAUAAUCUGCGGGCUUGUUGUGCAGAUGCUAUUGCUCUUGUUCAUUACCUUGUCCACCAACUGGGAGAAAGAAGUAAGGAAACUAACAAACUAUUAUGGCACACAAUUUUUGUUCCGACGUCUUCUAGUGAUUUUAAUUUGUGGCCGAUUAUCUGUCUUGUUGCUUUGGUAGGCUUUAAAGGCGAAGAACAGAGUUUUUAGUUCGUCCCUACCUGCGGACUUGAUGACAUGAGACGCGCAUGAUGCACAAUUUUCUUGGGAAAUUUGUCCAGGAAUGUGCAGGGAGACAAGGAACCCAUGAAGAAUUGGGCUCUAAGAAAAGUGCUUCGAUCCACCAGCUGGUACUUUCUUCAACGAAACGUCUGCAAAUGAGCUCCCUACCCAGCACGGCACUUGAUAAGGGAAUAAAAUGUUGUUUUACUAGAAUCAACCUUAUUGAUCCAGAAUUUCCGUGGAGGAUUUACUAGACUAUUUCUUCGUAAAAGAAUAGAAUGGCAAAGAAAGGAGCUAGGUUCGCUUGCCUGUCAGAAUUGCAUAUGCUUGGUUCUCCUACUGUAACGCUAGGUUUACUCGUAGCCUAGGAAGGGAAACGGUCAAAUGUUCAUUGAAACAUGAAGAGAUGAUAAACUUUGUAGAAAUGUUCUUCGGACAAAAAGGAAGUGAUGAUAUCAUUGAAGAAGGGAAUAGAUCUGCUACUUUUGGAUCUUAUGCUAAUGGAGCUCUUGGUCCUGUGGGUUUUCUUUACUGUUCUACUCCCUCCGUCCCAUACUAAGUGACGAAAUAUUACAUGUAUUUAGAUGCUUUUUGAGUAUAGAUACAUCCAUAUUUUGGCAAAUUUGAGUCACUUAUUAUGGCACGGAGGGAGUAUCAAAAGUUUGGGCCACUUAUUUAGAAUUAUUAUAUGGCGCUGGUUAGAGCGUCUGAAACUUUGAACAAGGUCGAUUAGAUGUCUCCACCUUGUUACCUUGAUCCCUAGGAACCAGAUGCAUACGAAAUGGAGAAAUUUGGGCCAUUCAGCUUAGAGAACUGUAUUUUUUUUUUAAAUAUAUAUUAUUUUUUCUUUUUUUUUACAAAUCAUUGACUAGCAGGCUCUCUCUUGUGGGGAGACUCAUAUCCUCUAAUCAAACAGCUUUUCAGUCUAGCAUUUUCAGAAGCUCCCGAAUAGCCUCGUCUGAUUUUGAACAUCUUGCGAGUUUUUGCUCGAUGCGUAUCCGUCUUAUUAUAGGAAUAGACUGGUGGCUUUUGGUUGUUUCGAUCUAUGUAUACAUUUUUUUAGGCUUGUUAAUAAAUCAAUAAAUAUGGUUGUGUGCAUUAUUUUGUUACAGAGGUCGGGAUUUCAACCUUUUAAAAAAAAAUAGUGUUAGCUACGAGAAUAUCUACGUCUGUAGCUUUCGUCGUGUUGAAUAGUAUACUGGAUGUUCUGGUCCGGAUUAAGCUUGGAACCUUGGAUUCAACUUUUUCCGUCAGAUAAGGCUAUUAUGUCAGAUGCGUUGCACUUGACUGCCAAGCUUCCUCCUUUGUCUCACAUGAGAUCCUUUAGUCCCAAUUCCUUUCAGGCAUGCUGAAAUUGACUGGAUGAGGCACGCCAAACUUUGUUGGCAAGCAAGCUACUCCUUCACUAUAACUGUUUCCUGUCGGUUUUCAUAUGGAAUUUGUCACCAUAUUUGCAGGCCCAUCCCCAUAUAAUAUUUGAUGAAGUUGAUCGGUAGUAUAGUCUUCAGCACACAUGAUAAAUAUCCCUUCAGUUCACUUGCAAACGCAUGCCUUUGUUCAGAAGCAAAGUGAGAGGUUUCAUCCUUUCAGGCAUGGAGGAGCCCCUUGCUGGUGGCAACGCUGAGAAAACGAGAGGGCUGCUAAGACAGAGCCUGGUAGCGACCGAGGUGAAGAAGCAGCUGUACCUUGCCGGGCCUCUCAGCGCCGGAUGCCUCCUGCAGAACGUCGUCCAGAUGAUAUCGGUCAUGUUCCUAAGAUGAGCUUGUCCUCAUCUUAGGAGCUUCUGUUCUGCUUUUUUUUUUUUUGAAAAGGAGCUUUUGCUCUGUAUGUACGUAGAAAUAAGAAGGAUGUCUUGAAUGGAAUCUCUUCCAUUUUCUAGCUCCGAUCCAUUCGACAAUUUAUCAUGAUUUUCAGAUUACUUGGUGACCACCACCGAGCGCUUGUAGUUCGACUCACUAAUUAAAUCUCAGGAACUUUUUCAGAUACAGUAUGACACAUAAGAGGGCAGCCAAACAGUAGGAGUUCAAAACGGAAAAACAAACGAGAUUUGAGGGGCAACAUGUCACCUAUAAACGAUUCACAGUGUUUGUGCCUUCUGGUUCUAGUAUUCUUAGCUUCCACAAUUCACUUUAGUUCGUCUGGUAAUUAUUUUGUCAGUAGUGUGAACUUGGCUGCCAAGCUGUCUCUUUUGUCUCCCAUGUGUUUCUUUUUAGUCCACUAGACUGAAUAUUCUAACAUCUCAAUCAUGCUCAAAUUGACUGGUUGAGGCCUGUUCAACUUGGUUACCGAGUCUGACUCUGUUUCCUCGCAGUUUCUGAAGUCACCAUCUAUAUCGUUUGUGAAGUUGAUUGAUAUAUUCUUCCUCAUAUAUGUUAAAUAUCCCAUUCACUUCACUUGUAAACACCUAAACAGAUUCUGAAGUUUCAAGUAUGGUGCCAAGCAUGGAGGAGCCCCUUGUUGCGAGCAACACUGAGAAGACACAAGGGCCAGGACACAGCCUUGUGGUGAUUGAGGUCAAGAAGCAGCUUUACCUUGCUGGCCCUCUCAUCGCCGGAGGCCUCCUACAGAACGUCGUCCAGAUGAUAUCUGUCAUGUUUGUCGGUCAUCUCGGCGAGCUUGCUCUCUCCAGUGCCUCCAUCGCCACAUCCUUUGCCGGUGUCACCGGCUUCAGCUUGCUGGUAUAUUAUGACCUUACAUACGUUUGAUCUCCUUAACAAUUAACAGAAACUUGAAUAUGUGUUCAUAACUAUUUUAGGCAGGCAUGUCGAGCAGCUUGGACACACUGUGUGGGCAAGCCUUCGGAGCAAAGCAGUACCAUCUUCUUGGUAUCUACAAGCAGAGAGCAAUCUUUGUGCUCACUCUGGUGAGUGUUGUGGUUGCUGUAAUCUGGGCCUACACCGGCCAGAUCCUUCUGUUCUUCGGCCUGGACCCAGAAAUUGCCAUGGGAGCAGGGACUUACAUCCGGUGGUUGACUCCAGCAUUGUUUGUGUAUGGACCGCUUCAAUGCCAAAUCCGGUUCCUGCGGACACAAAACAUUGUCCUCCCAGUGAUGCUGAGCUCUGGUGUCAUGGCCCUGAGCCAUGUCCUGGUUUGCUGGUUGCUGGUUUACAAGCUUGGCCUGGGCAACAGUGGUGCUGCCUUGGCCAAUACCAUCUCUUACCUGGUCAAUUUUUUAGUCUUGGCUCUCUAUGUCAGGUUCUCUCAAUCUUGUAAGAACACAUGGACAGGGUUAUCAACGGAGGCAUUUCAUGACAUCCUUAGUUUCUUGAGGCUCGCCGUUCCAUCUGCUCUGAUGGUUUGGUGAGUGUAAGUUGAUCUGUCUAAUUGCAGGCAGAGUUAUUCGUGUUUCAUUUUCAAUUGAUUUCAUCCUACAUUUUCACAGUUUGGAGUGGUGGUCAUUCGACCUCAUGGUACUUCUUACUGGAUUUCUCCCAAAUCCUAAGCUCGAGGCGUCAGUAUUGUCCAUCAGGUGAAGAUAUGCAUGACUUAUAUUGUAUGGGGUUAAUUUGAUAUAUGCCACUGCAAUUCUUUCAAAUUUGGAAAAUUCCACUGCAGUUUGCGUCUUUCAGGAAAUGCCACGACAAUGGGUCAAAAGGUGCCAUUGCAGUUGCAUUUUUUCGAAGAUGAGAACUGCAGCGGCAGUUUUUGAAUUCGCAAGAGUUGCAGUGGCAUAUAGUAUCAACUAACCAUUUUUAUUUGGUUGCCUUUUUCUGGUAAUAACAAUUGACUCUCCUGCAGUUUAAAUACGGUUGUGUUAGUAUUCAGGAUCCCCUCUGGGCUUGGUGCAGCUAUAAGGUCAGAUUGAACAAGUCAAACUCGUAAACCUUUACCAUGCCAAAAUGUUUAUCCAUCAUACUUCUGGCAAUUAUACUGUUAUCUCAACCCACAAAAGGAUCGAUGAUAUCCUUUAUCUCACCUUUGUAGCACCCGUGUCGCAAAUGAGCUUGGUGCUGGGCGACCGCAUGCUGCCCGCCUAGCUACCCGUGUGAUCAUGGCCCUGGGUGUCGUGUCAGGCGUAUCACUCGGUCUUCUUGUGAUUUUAGUGCGCAAUUUGUGGGGUUAUGCAUACAGCAACGAGGAGGAAGUGGUGAAGUACGUUGCCAGAAUUAUGCCCAUUCUUGCCGUCACAUUCUUGUUUGAUGACCUGCAGUGUGUUCUUUCAGGUAAAUAUAGAUAACUUGUAGAAAGCAAAUUAUGUGUUUAUCUCCAUAAUAGUUAUCGUUUAUAUUGAAAAUUAUCCCCAAAGAUACUGACUGGCAACGGGGAUACUCUGAUAUUCCUUUUUCAGGUAUUCUUAGGGGUUGUGGCUUCCAAAAGAUUGGCGCCAUCAUCAAUCUCAGUGCAUACUAUCUUGUUGGCAUUCCGGCAGCUUUAUGUUUUGCUUUUCUCUACCACUUUGGUGGAAUGGUAUUAAUUUAGUACCCUUACACAUUAAAGUUCUCAUUUCACUUAUAUUUCUCAUUUCAGAUCUCUAUAAAAAAUUGUUUGCACUGGCAGGGAAUGUGGCUCGGAAUAGUCUGCGGGCUUGUUGUGCAGGUGCUAUUGCUCUUGUUCAUUACCUUGUCCACCAACUGGGAGAAAGAAG
rnacentral:lncRNA from 1 species